rnacentral:rRNA from 1 species
AUUGAACGCUGGCGGCAGGCCUAACACAUGCAAGUCGAGCGGUAGCACAGAGAGCUUGCUCUCGGGUGACGAGCGGCGGACGGGUGAGUAAUGUCUGGGAAACUGCCUGAUGGAGGGGGAUAACUACUGGAAACGGUAGCUAAUACCGCAUAACGUCGCAAGACCAAAGUGGGGGACCUUCGGGCCUCAUGCCAUCAGAUGUGCCCAGAUGGGAUUAGCUAGUAGGUGGGGUAACGGCUCACCUAGGCGACGAUCCCUAGCUGGUCUGAGAGGAUGACCAGCCACACUGGAACUGAGACACGGUCCAGACUCCUACGGGAGGCAGCAGUGGGGAAUAUUGCACAAUGGGCGCAAGCCUGAUGCAGCCAUGCCGCGUGUGUGAAGAAGGCCUUCGGGUUGUAAAGCACUUUCAGCGGGGAGGAAGGCGUUAAGGUUAAUAACCUUGGCGAUUGACGUUACCCGCAGAAGAAGCACCGGCUAACUCCGUGCCAGCAGCCGCGGUAAUACGGAGGGUGCAAGCGUUAAUCGGAAUUACUGGGCGUAAAGCGCACGCAGGCGGUCUGUCAAGUCGGAUGUGAAAUCCCCGGGCUCAACCUGGGAACUGCAUUCGAAACUGGCAGGCUAGAGUCUUGUAGAGGGGGGUAGAAUUCCAGGUGUAGCGGUGAAAUGCGUAGAGAUCUGGAGGAAUACCGGUGGCGAAGGCGGCCCCCUGGACAAAGACUGACGCUCAGGUGCGAAAGCGUGGGGAGCAAACAGGAUUAGAUACCCUGGUAGUCCACGCCGUAAACGAUGUCGAUUUGGAGGUUGUGCCCUUGAGGCGUGGCUUCCGGAGCUAACGCGUUAAAUCGACCGCCUGGGGAGUACGGCCGCAAGGUUAAAACUCAAAUGAAUUGACGGGGGCCCGCACAAGCGGUGGAGCAUGUGGUUUAAUUCGAUGCAACGCGAAGAACCUUACCUGGUCUUGACAUCCACAGAACUUUCCAGAGAUGGAUUGGUGCCUUCGGGAACUGUGAGACAGGUGCUGCAUGGCUGUCGUCAGCUCGUGUUGUGAAAUGUUGGGUUAAGUCCCGCAAUGAGCGCAACCCUUAUCCUUUGUUGCCAGCGGUUAGGCCGGGAACUCAAAGGAGACUGCCAGUGAUAAACUGGAGGAAGGUGGGGAUGACGUCAAGUCAUCAUGGCCCUUACGACCAGGGCUACACACGUGCUACAAUGGCAUAUACAAAGAGAAGCGACCUCGCGAGAGCAAGCGGACCUCAUAAAGUAUGUCGUAGUCCGGAUUGGAGUCUGCAACUCGACUCCAUGAAGUCGGAAUCGCUAGUAAUCGUAGAUCAGAAUGCUACGGUGAAUACGUUCCCGGGCCU